CAGUCUUAGGGUUUUACUUAUUUACAAUAAGUGGGUUUACUGUUCAAUUCAGUUGAGUCUGA
rnacentral:tRNA from 1 species